UCAAGAUGAAUGAUUUGCUUGGUGAAUACGAUUUAUUCUCUUUCACUCGAACGCUUUCUCUCCAGGCAGGCAACAGUGGGACUUUGCGAUUCCUCGUCACCUUGGUACAGAGGCUCUCUAACCUUUUCUCACUGGAUUUUUCUGGUCCGUUUUCAGGUUGGAGGGUGAGGGUGACAGAAGCUGGGAAAUGAAAGAUGGGAUUGUUUUCUUGUCAUCCUGUAUCCCUGCCACCUGGCGAUGGUGUUUCUGGAGAGUUACCUGGAACUUGAUGGAUCUGUACAGAGGAGAAGACUGAGUUGGGGCAUCGGCAAAGACAGUGUUUCUCCAUGCUCCCGUUAUUCUUCCAGAGCUGUCAGGAGUGGAAAUCAUUUCACCUUUGCACUUAGAAUAAAGCAACUCGGCAUUAACAGUAAAUUGGCUUCGGCAUACUCUUAGAGAAAUUACAACGGAAACGAGAAAUGUUAUGAACCAGAUGCCGAAAAAGUCCCAGUGGCAAGAAUCAGAAGAGGGCACAAAGGUACUCAGAGAUCCCCGCUACAAGUAUAAGAGAAAAUAAAGGCAACAAGAAUGGCACAAAAAACACGUGUAAAACUGAUGAACGUGGCUUUUUCAAGAAGGAUUUGCACAUAAUCAUUAGGCUAUGCGACUAAUGCCAUAGCCUAGGCUGAAUGUGCUUGGGAGUUCCUGAGUUAUGAAAACAAUUAUUAUAUCUUAGAAGUUCUUCUUAGUGUGCUCCUGUGACUGAUUGGCAUAUAGAACACAGAGGUUUCUUUCCUGUUCAUGUAACGCUAUCUUUAUUUUUCUUGCAGUACAAUUAAGAUGUUGCCGUAAUAGACAUAAUGUCUUCCUCAAAUUAAUGAGAUGCUUCCUUUAUGCCCUUGAUUAGGCAAGAAUCUUUCUUUGGCAAAUCAUAUUUUUUUAUGCUGAUAAAAUAGAAAGCUUCUUUAUGAUGCCUUUUAAAAAUAAAUGAAAUUAUUUUUGAGCAUAUGACAAGUUUAUCAUAUUUACUCUUGAAGAGUAAAUAUUUGAAAGUCCCAUGAAAGAGAUGUUUGAAAGUCAGAUAAUAUCCACUGCACAUUAAAAUCUACAUAGAUGAGGCAGAAAAAACUCCACUUAACAAUUUUAAAACAUUUUCCUCCAGUUUGCACCACACAAAAACCUUUAAGAAACUCCUGGCACUUUACACAUGGGUUAUAGCUUAUAUUGCAGUAGGCUUGAGAUUAAACUCAGGGCAUAUAUGGGACAAAUGUAUUUUUCAGAAGGAACUCUAGUUAUGCUGAAUCCUCAUUAAUUUCCAACCAAUUUCUAGUGUUGACUACAUGAGGAAGAUUUCUAUCAGUGAGAGUCAGAGAAAGUCCCUCCAUUGGGAGAGCAUGCACAGGCAGCCUUGUAGAAAUAAAUGAACAGAGUACUUAAUGAAGAAAGACUUCAAUUUUAACUCCAGC